rnacentral:rRNA from 1 species
GUGGGGAAUAUUGGGCAAUGGGCGGAAGCCUGACCCAGCGACGCCGCGUGGGGGAAGAAGUCUUUCGGGAUGUAAACCCUUGUUGUACGGGACGAAGGAAGUGACGGUACCGUACGAGGAAGCCCCGGCAAACUACGUGCCAGCAGCCGCGGUAAUACGUAGGGGGCGAGCGUUGUCCGGAAUCACUGGGCGUAAAGCGCACGUAGGCGGGCUGUCAAGUCGGCCGUGAAAGGCACGGGCUCAACCUGUGCAUGUCGGUCGAUACUGGCGGUCUGGAGUAUGGGAGAGGGAACUGGACUUCCCGGUGUAGCGGUGAAAUGCGUAGAUAUCGGGAGGAACACCAGUGGCGAAGGCGGGUUCCUGGCCCAUGACUGACGCUGAGGUGCGAAAGCCGGGGGAGCGAACGGGAUUAGAAACCCGAGUAGUCC